UCAGACAUGGUGUAGUGUGAGCACAGCCUCUUCUCCUUACUUUGGACUGGAGAAUUAGGAGGUAGUCCAGGGUUCGACUCCCUAUGUUUGAA